rnacentral:rRNA from 1 species
UGAUCGAAAGAUGAAAAGCACUUUGGAAAGAGAGUCAAACAGUACGUGAAAUUGUUGAAAGGGAAGCGCUUGCAACCAGACCUGCCCGCGGGCGAUCAGCCGUCCUUCUGGGCGGUGCACUCGCCCGCGAUCAGGCCAGCAUCGGUUCGGGCGGUCGGAUAAAGGCCUCGGGAACGUGGCUCCCCUCGGGGAGUGUUAUAGCCCUUGGUGCAAUGCGGCCUGCCCGGACCGAGGACCGCGCUUCGGCUAGGAUGCUGGCGUAAUGGUUGUAAGCGGCCCGUCUUGAAACACGGACCAAGGAGUCGACCAACUAUGCGAGUGUUUGGGCGUCAAACCCACACGCGCAAUGAAAGUGAACGGAGGUGGGAACCCCUCGCGGGGCGCACCAUCGACCGAUCCAGAUGUCUUCGGAUGGAUUUGAGUACGAGCAUAGCUGGUCGGACCCGAAAGAUGGUGAACUAUGCCUGAAUAGGGUGAGGCCAGAGGAAACUCUGGUGGAGGCUCGCAGCGGUUCUGACGUGCAAAUCGAUCGUCAAAUUUGGGCAUAGGGGCGAAAGACUAAUCGAACCAUCUAGUAGCUGGUUCCAGCCGAAGUUC